rnacentral:tRNA from 1 species
GCCGGCGUAGCUCAGUUGGUAGAGCGCCACUCUUGUAAAGUGGAUGUCCUCGGUUCGACCCCGGGCGCCGGCU